rnacentral:rRNA from 1 species
GACGAACGCUGGCGGCGUGCUUAACACAUGCAAGUCGAGCGGAGCGGCGAACGGGUGAGUAACGCGUGAGUAACUGCCCCCCUCUCUGGGAUAACAGUUGGAAACGGCUGCCAAUACCGGAUAGUGGGGGAUGACUCGGGUCCUAUCAGCUUGUUGGUGGGGUAGUGGCCUACCAAGGCGCCGACGGGUAGCCGGCCUGAGAGGGCGACCUGCCACCUUGGGCUAAGAGACGGCCCAAGCGCCUACGGGAGGCAGCGGGGGGGAAUAUUGCACAAUGGGGGAAACCGUGAUGCGGCAACGCCGCGUGCGGGAUGACGGCUGUCGGGUUGUAAACCGCUUUCAGCCAUGACGCGGUAGUGGCAGAAGAAGCACCGGCUAACUACGUGCCAGCAGCCGCGGUAAUUC